GUCUAUAGCCACGCUAUGCUGAACAAGCCCGAUCCCAUCUGAUGUUGGAAGCUAAGCAGGGUCAGGCCUGGUUAGUACUUGGAUGGGAGACCACCUAGGAAGACCAGGUGCGGUAGGGG
rnacentral:rRNA from 1 species